GAGAGAAGAGUGGCAGCAGAGACAACAGCCCAUCAGUAGCCUGGUCUUGUGGAAUAAAAGAUUUUAGAAUGAUGUGGGAGCUGAAGCUAAAUGUUGCAGAAUUGUUCAGUAAAACACAGACUCCGAAGACCUAGAGAGGGGGAACGACAGCGGGACACCACUGCCCACCUCUGAUAACGGUGACAAUUCGCUGGGCUACACAGACAGGAACCCCUGGAGUUGAUGAGAGGCUUUCUGCUGAGGGCCUCCUAGCAAGAGCAAAGACAGAGCAAAUUACCUUCAGACACUGCUGUCAGUUCAGCGAAUUAAGUAUGCAAAGCAAUUUGUGAAGAUGUUCUGAAGUGCAAAUUUCUGCCACUAGGUCAAAAGAAUAUGAAUUAUCACAGGAUGAGCAAGGGGGCAGGUCCCAUUCUGCUUGGAUUGCUUGGCAAAAGAACAGAUCUGUAUGUGCAGGCUGCCUUCAAGCACAGACUGACUCUUGGCCAGCCAGCAUCUCCAAAGUGGGAAAAGGGAGGCACAGGAGGGAGCUGGGUGUUUUGAUGUGCAAGGAACACUGUGGGAGAACUGGUGAGGGUGCAUUACACUGUGCACAAUGUAGAAAACCCAACUAGAGCCAGCACCAAAUUGUGGCAAUAUGAAUGCUGGGAGAAGAAGGCAAAUUCUUAGGGAACCAGACCUCAUUGAUCUGGUUGUUCAGGAAGCCAUUUGUUCUCAUGCCAUGAGCUGUUGUGUAUUAUUCAUGGUUAAUAGCACUGGGCAAUUACUGCAUAAUUUGAAAGAAAGCUGAAGUUAUUAUCAUAGUAAUAAAAUAAUUUAUCCAUUCUCAGUUUUAGGGACUUUUUUUAAUAUUACUCUCUGCUGUGAAGCAGAUAAAUAGACAAAACAUCAGCAAUAAUGUUUUCAGUAUAGUAUUGUUUCUUACUGGAGAGUAAGCACGCUUAGCUAAAGUAUCUCCAGUGUCUAGAAGCACUUUGCCACAGUGCAGCAGCAGCUACUCAGAAAGCUCUCCCUUUAAUGCACCAGAGAGUCACUUGUCCACAUGUGACUUUUGUUCAAGCACAGGGUCUGUCACAGAGUUUCCUCCCCUUCUUGACAUAUUUACAAACCUUGGCAGGCCUACCAAAAUUUUUUUGGCUUGAACCCCAGGAUUCUUCUAGCUGAAGGAUGAAAGGUGGUGAUGGGAUUGUCAUUGUUACCCUUCUUGCCUCUCAAGCUCCCUGCAAAGUCCAGGAAUACUACAGAACUUUCUAUGAACAGGUUUUUCAAAUUCAUUGACUCGAGAACCGACUUAAUGGCAGUGUGGAAAAUCAAGGUGAAGCAGACAUUUCACUUGUUGUAAGCAGGCAUCACUGCUCUGACAUAUUGCACACAGCACACACGCUGUACCCACAACAGAACCAUCUGUCAGGAUGGCUUCGUGCCUGCACUCAGCCCAGAAGAUCUUUGUCCCUCCAGCAUGGGUUCCAACAACAAUAGACUUGCUCAGGGAACCCUGGAGUAACCUCUCAUCACAUAGGAAAUCCUUCCCUCUGUUGGCGUUGAAGCAUUGGUACCACAUGCUUCUCUUCAGUUGUUAACAGCCUCUAAUUAGCAGUAGUCAUAUUCUGAACCUCAUUUGUCAAAUUGUAUCUUGGCUAAGCAUUCAGCACACUCAGAAAUAGAACUGUUGGAAAUAAUGUAAAAUUGUCUUUUUAAGAGCAUCAUAUUGCACUUGGCUGAAAGUAAGCUUUUGGGUCUUACUGUGAUAGAAAUUGAACAUGAUAUUCUUUCCCUGAGAGAACAAAUCUUUGAAUAUGAAGUUCAAAAACUGUGAAAAAUAAAUUAGUAAUUAAAGAAAA
ensembl:lncRNA